rnacentral:rRNA from 1 species
UCAAGCUAAUAAGAGCGUAGGGUGAAUGCCUUGGCAUUAAGAGCCGAAGAAGGACGCGGUUAACUGCGAAAAGCCAUGGGGAGCUGUAAGCAAGCAUUGAUCCAUGGAUAUCCGAAUGGGGAAACCCGGCGGUCGUAAUGGGCCGUCACCGUUACAUGAAUAAAUAGUGUAACGGGGGGAACCCGGUGAACUGAAACAUCUAAGUAGCCGGAGGAAGAGAAAGAAAGAUCGAUUUUCUUAGUAGCGGCGAGCGAACGGGAAAGAGGCCAAACCGGGACUCUACGGAGUACCGGGGUUGAGGACCUGCGGAAUCGAAGUUGGAGAUAGUCGAAGACGGUUGGAAAGCCGAACCGGAGAGGGUAAAAGUCCCGUAGGCGAAAUCAAAGACGAGAGGCGGGUAUCCAGAGUACCACAGGACACGAGUAAUCCGGUGGGAAGCAGGGGGGUCCACCCCCCAAGCCUAAAUACUACUUAAUGACCGAUAGCGUAUAGUACCGUGAGGGAAAGGUGAAAAGAACCCCGGGAGGGGAGUGAAAGAGAACCUGAAACCCUAUGUUUACAAGCAGAGGGAGCGAAAGCGACCUCGUACUUUUUGUAGAACGGGCCGGCGAGUUACUGUGUGCAGCGAGGUUAAGGCGUAGAGCGCCGGAGCCGAAGCGAGAGCGAGUCUGAAGAGGGCGAAAGUUGUGCGCAGUAGACCCGAAACCGGGUGACCUAUCCAUGGACAGGAUGAAGCGGCGGUAAGACGCCGUGGAGGUCCGAACCACACGUAUGUUGAAAAAUGCGGGGAUGAGCUGUGGAUAGCGGAGAAAUUCCAAUCGAACUCGGAGAUAGCUGGUUCUCCCCGAAAUAGCUUUAGGGCUAGCCUCGUUUUAAAUUACCGGGGGUAGAGCACUGAAUGGGCUAGGGGGCCACAAAGCUUACCGAACCCUAUCAAACUUCGAAUACCGGAUAAUUGAUGAACGGGAGUCAGACGGCGGGAGAUAAGUUUCGUCGUCAAAAGGGAAACAGCCCAGAUCUACGACUAAGGUCCCGAAAUCACAGUUAAGUGGAAAAGGAUGUGCAGUUGCACAGACAACCAGGAUGUUGGCUUAGAAGCAGCCACUCAUUUAAAGAGUGCGUAAUAGCUCACUGGUCGAGUGAUUGUGCGCCGAAAAUGUACCGGGGCUAAACUGUGUACCGAAGUCUAGGGAUCGUGAUAAACGAUCGGUAGGGGAGCAACGUGUGCGGGCUGAAGCCGAAGCGGAAGCGACGGUGGACUGCACGGGAGAGAGAAUGCCGGCAUGAGUAGCGAGAGCAAAGUGAGAAUCUUUGCCGUCGAAAGCCUAAGGUUUCCUGAGGAAGGCUCGUCCUCUCAGGGUAAGUCAGGACCUAAGCCGAGGACAAAAGUCGUAGGCGAUGGACAACUGGUUGAUAUUCCAGUACCACCUUUAGCGUUUGACUGAAGCAGUGACACAGAAGGAUAGACAGAGCGCGUGACUGGUAGAGCGCGUCCAAGCGAUGAGGGAGUUAAGUAGUGAAGAACGCUUAACAAUCCUGGGUCGUGAUGGGGACUGAAAAUAAGUAGGGAAGCUGUUGAAUUCACGCUGGCGAGAAAAGCUGCUAAGGAGCGAAAGGGUGCCUGUACCGCAAACCGACACAGGUAGGCGAGGAGAGAAUCCUAAGACGAGCGGGAGAACCCAUGUUAAGGAACUCGGCAAAAUGACCCUGUAACUUCGGGAUAAAGGGAGCCACGAGAGUGGCCGCAGAGAAUAGGCCCAAGCGACUGUUUACCAAAAACACAGGUCUGUGCGAAGUAGAGAUACGACGUAUACGGGCUGACGCCUGCCCAGUGCCGGAAGGUUAAGGGGAAGUGUUAGGGCAACCGAAGCACGGAACUUAAGCCCCGGUGAACGGCGGCCGUAACUAUAACGGUCCUAAGGUAGCGAAAUUCCUUGUCGGGU